GACGAACGCUGGCGGCGUGCUUAACACAUGCAAGUUGAACGGUCCGGCAUGGAAGCUUGCUGAAGUGUCGGGUAGUAGCGGACGGGUGAGUAAUGCAUGAGAAGCUGCCAUUGGGAGGGGGACAACAGUUGGAAACGGCUGCUAAUACCCCAUAUGCCGGAAGGUGAAACGGAGUGAUCCGCCCGAUGAGGUGCUCAUGUCCUAUCAGCUAGUUGGUGAGGUAACGGCUCACCAAGGCGACGACGGGUAGCCGGCCUGAGAGGGUGACCGGCCACACUGGAACUGAGAUACGGUCCAGACUCCUACGGGAGGCAGCAGUGGGGAAUAUUGGGCAAUGGGGGCAACCCUGACCCAGCGACGCCGCGUGAGGGAAGACGGCCUUCGGGUUGUAAACCUCUUUUGUACGGGAAGAAGGAUGUGACGGUACCGUGCGAAUAAGUCCCGGCUAACUACGUGCCAGCAGCCGCAGUAA
rnacentral:rRNA from 1 species